rnacentral:rRNA from 1 species
UACGGAGGAUGCGAGCGUUAUCCGGAUUUAUUGGGUUUAAAGGGUGCGUAGGCGGAAUGCCAAGUCAGCGGUAAAAUCGCGGGGCUCAACCUCGCUCCGCCGUUGAAACUGGCGUUCUUGAGUGGGCGAGAAGUAUGCGGAAUGCGUGUGUAGCGGUGAAAUGCAUAGAUAUCACGCAGAACUCCGAUUGCGAAGGCAGCAUACCGGCGCCCAACUGACGCUGAAGCACGAA